rnacentral:rRNA from 1 species
CAAUAUUUAUAUUGAAUUGUUAUUUUAAUUUUAUUGUCAAUUUGUUGAUUAAAUUCAAAAAUCUUCAAAACUUUCAACAACGGAUCUCUUGGUUCUCGCAUCGAUGAAGAACGCAGCGAAAUGCGAUAAGUAAUAUGAAUUGCAGAUUUUCGUGAAUCAUCGAAUCUUUGAACGCACAUUGCGCCCUUUGGUAUUCCAAAGGGCAUGCCUGUUUGAGCGUCAUUUCUCUCUCAAAUCUUCGGAUUUGGUUUUGAGUGAUACUCUUAGUCAGACUAAGCGUUUGCUUGAAAUGUAUUGGCAUGAGUGGUACUAGAUAGUGCUGAACUGUUUUCAAUGUAUUAGGUUUAUCCAACUCGUUGAUAUCGGUAAGGUAUUUGUUUAUUACACAGGCUCGGCCUUACAACAACAAACAAAGUUUGACCUCAAAUCAGGUAGGACUACCCGCUGAACUUAAGCAUAUCAAUAAGCGGAGGA